AUAGUUACCUUGCAGGGGAGAUCCCUUGAUUACGAAGGUGGUUUUCCCCAGGACGAGGCUUAUCCACUGCACUCUGGAUGCACUGACCCCUGAAAUUUCCCCAAUGUGGAAAACUCAACUGCAUAAUUUGUGGUAGUGAAUGCUUUUGUCCUCUUCCC